UAUAAUUAAAAAAAUUUUAUUUUUAUUAAAAAAUUUUAUAUUUUAGGAUGUUGAAUAUCUUCAAAAGUAUUUUAUAAAAUUGAGAUGGAAGGAAUAUAAAAAUUAAAGUAUUUGGGCCAACGCGAUCAUCCCUUGGACCCAACCUAAAUAUAGAUCAGCCCGAUGAACUAGCGAACGACUAAACGGGUCCAACUUGACUCACCAAUGGACCAUAACCCAAAUAUGGAUCAGCCUAAAGCCCUAAACAUAGUAAUUGCCGGGAGAAGAACCUCUCCAUUUUUUCCACUCUAUUUCCUUCCGCACCAUUUAAACUAGGAGAAAAAACUCCUAAAGAAUUCACUAUUUUUGAAAACUUCUGCUUUUAGUUCUCUUUCCUCACUAUUUUCUUCCACUUUUCUCUCCGUCCAAACCAAUUGAGUAUAUCAUGAAGGAAUGAUUUUCCCUGUAACAUUUGGUCGGCAUUGCUUUGAUAGUUCAGGUUUGGUACACGUGUUCACCAGUGACCAAAGGCAGGAAGAGCGAAAAGGAAAACAUGGAACUGCAAGAUUGCAAUACCUUCAGAAACAAGAGAGACAGUUGUGGCAAACUUGGCAAACUUUGCCUGUGAUCCUUAUAACUAUCACUUCUUGUGUCAGGUUGGAAUUUUCAAUUUUUCUAUGGAAAAUGACCAUAAGAUGAGCUAAAAUUCCUGGUAUACAGUUAUCAGCUUUGCAAACCACUAUUUAUGUGAUUUAUGAACAGCUCAGUGUUUUAGAACUUUUCUUGGAUUGCAUGACAGAAUCCAAUGAGAGGCUUGUGGAAUUUGGUGUUGGAGGGAUCUGCAAUUCUUGUGCUGGCAAGUCCAGAAGUUUCUCCCUUGGUGAUGAUAUAUAUGCAUCUCUGCUUUAUUGAUCAUAUUGACAAAAAUCAGUGGCAAUUCCUUUCACAUCCAGCCAAUGCAGCAAUUGUAAUCAGUCCGGUGGUAUCCCUCUUAUCAUUCAAUGUCUAUCAAGCCCUGCUAGGAACACUAUAAGGAUGAGAUCUUACUAUCGAGGUUGUUUCACUUCAAUGAGUUGUAAUGUAUUCGCCUUUUUUUGGUGACGAAUAUAUUUGCCUUUGAAAUUCAACCUGCUGAUUUUGUAGAGCCAGACCGGAUGGUAACCUAUGGCUAUUCAGAUUCUUGGAUUUCUUUUGGACAUUUUUUUUGGCUCACGUGGAAGUAGUAUAAUAUGAGGACAAUGGAUUUUUGCUA